rnacentral:rRNA from 1 species
GACGAACGCUGGCGGCGUGCUUAACACAUGCAAGUCGAACGGAAAGGCCCUGCUUUUGUGGGGUGCUCGAGUGGCGAACGGGUGAGUAACACGUGAGUAACCUGCCCUUGACUUUGGGAUAACUUCAGGAAACUGGGGCUAAUACCGGAUAGGAGCUCCUGCUGCAUGGUGGGGGUUGGAAAGUUUCGGCGGUUGGGGAUGGACUCGCGGCUUAUCAGCUUGUUGGUGGGGUAGUGGCUUACCAAGGCCUUGACGGGUAGCCGGCCUGAGAGGGCGACCGGCCACAUUGGGACUGAGAUACGGCCCAGACUCCUACGGGAGGCAGCAGUGGGGAAUAUUGCACAAUGGGCGGAAGCCUGACGCAGCAACGCCGCGUGCGGGAUGACGGCCUUCGGGUUGUAAACCGCUUUCGCCUGUGACGAAGCGUGAGUGACGGUAAUGGGUAAAGAAGCACCAGCUAACUACGUG